rnacentral:lncRNA from 1 species
CCCUACUUAAAGUUGGAGGGAGAUCAGCCCAAUUUUAGAUUUAAUCACCACAAGUGUAAACACCCUAUUUACACUUGAGUGGGGGAGAUCUGUGACUCAUGUGUGAAAUAGUGGGUGACAAAUCAGAAUUAAACUGACUGCUUCAUCAACUGUGGGUUGGUAGAUGAAAAAUUAGGGGAAGGCACAGGAAGUGACACCAAAGAAAGUGUCUUUUAUAAAGGGAGUUACAACUUCCUGUGGGGAGAGAAUUGGCUGACAUUCAUGGGAGAAUUUUCUGAGAUCUUCAGCUGAAGAAGAAUCUGCUGACUGGACCUGAGAUCCUGUCCCUGGUGAGGCUGUUCUUAAAUCCCUUCUUUUGGACUGACACAUGGGGAAAGAAUGAUCAUUCAACACAACAGAAGAGUUCCAAGCAUUCAUGAAUAAAAGAUCAGACCUGAACAGAAAAUUUGAUGUCCAACCACAGAACUCAAGAGAAUCAUCAAAAGGUUCACUAUUUGACUCUGGGAGAUGAUUGUGUUCCCCAACUUCUGCCUACCAUUAAGAGGAUAGAGGAGAUGUUCAUCCAAAAGUAUUAUCUCUGCUACUAGACACCAGAUGCUAGCACAACCUAUAGAUAUAUACACAUAUACAGAUACAUUUAUAAAUAUAUAUUUUAGCCAGUACUAAAUGUUUUUGAUAACUGCUGCUUUAUGAUACAGUUUUGAGCCUGGAUGUACUAUUUCUAUUUUAGUAAUAUUUUUUUCAUUAUUUUCCUUGAUUUUCCAGAUUUUGUGUUUCUUUAAAAGAACUGUUAUUUUGUCAAAUUCUGUAAAGUAUUCCUUUAAAUUUUGAUUGUCACAGCAUUGAAACUAUAAAUUAACUUUGUUAGUAUUGUCAUUUUUACUAUAAUGGCACAGUCUAGCCAUGUCCAAUGGAAAUUUCUUUAGCUGUUUGUUAGUAUUCAUUUCUUUAAGG